CCAAGAUGGUGCAGGUAGGACACUGACACCAAGAUGGUGCAGGUAGGAGACUGACACACCAAGAUGAUGCAGGUAGGACACUGACACCAAGAUGGUGCAGGUAGGAGACUGACACACCAAGAUUGUGGAGGUAGGAGACUGACACACCAAGAUGGUGCAGGUAGGAGACUAACACACCAAGAUGGUGCAGGUAGGAGACUGACACACCAAGAUGGUGCAG